GAAUAUUGCGCAAUGGCCGAAAGGCUGACGCAGCGACGCCGCGUGGAGGAUGAAAUCCGUUAGGAUGUAAACUCCUUUUGCCGGGGAAGAAUGUCCGCCUAUGGCGGAAGUGACGGUACCUGGCGAAUAAGGAUCGGCCAACUACGUGCCAGCAGCCGCGGUAAUACGUAGGAUCCGAGCGUUGUCCGGAAUUACUGGGUGUAAAGGGCGUGUAGGUGGGCUUCUAAGUCGGUGGUGAAAUCCUGCAGCUUAACUGUAGAACUGCCAUUGAUACUGGAAGUCUUGAGUGCGGCAGAGGGAGAUAGAAUUCAUGGUGUAGCGGUGAAAUGUGUAGAUAUCAUGAAGAAUACCAGUUGCGAAGGCGGUCUCCUGGUCCGUUACUGACACUGAGGCGCGAAAGCGUGGGGAGCAAACAGG
rnacentral:rRNA from 1 species